rnacentral:lncRNA from 1 species
GACGAGCCCCGGCAUUGUCUACACCGCGGGCCUGGGCGCGGUCCUCAGGCCGAGCUCUGCGGUCUCUGCCGCUGCGCGGAACGGACUGGCUCGCCCGUGGCUUCAGCCUGCUCGGGAGAGGGAGCGAGUUUCCUCCAAUUCACCUCGAGUUUUAACUCUUACAAUAAAUACGGCAAAGAGGAAAAACGCCCAAGUGAACCCGCUUGUGCAGGCUUUGGGGGAACCCACAGCCGGAGGAGCCUCUUUGUUUGCCGAAGAUUUAAGAAAUUCUGUCAAUUUAAAAUGUUGGCUUUAUUGUUUUCAGGGUUGAAGUCUGAAUCUUAAGGACUCGACGUCUCUUACUGCCCUUAUACGUAAAAGUGAGACGGAGCAUUUGAGUACAGAAGCUGCCCCUUGGCCUUGGCUAGGGGCCUGCGUGGGGCAUCUGUACCCACGCAGGGAGGAGUGGGCCGGCGAGGCCCCGGCUGGAGGGCUGUGUGCUUUGUGACGGCCUGACAUAAUGCCAUUUUCUAGCUAGUCAUUCCUUCUGAGACUUUUGAUGGGUCAUAAUUUUGUUGAAAAGAUGGACAUCUUUUGUGCUGUACACUUGGAAGAUAUUUGCAGUUUGAGAUUUAUAGACAACCCACUAGAAUAGUAAGUCCAACAAAUUUUUAAAAUUUCCUUCCCAUUACCCCUGUGUGUAGCUUUCAAUACUUGUGAACUUAUAAACUGAUGAAAUGUAUAAAGCAAAACUUAGCACUCAAAUGUAAGGGACAAAAGAAUACGUGUUACCUGUUCAUUUAGCAAAUCAUUGUCUACAUUCUUAAUGCAAAAAUACUGCAUGAUAAAGUCUUUUCUACUGAAUGAGAAUAUCAUAUUUCCGUUUUCUUUUUUGAAAUAUAUUGUUUACCUAUUGCUUUUGAGUUUGAGAAAAUUCAUUAGGAUAUCUCAAUCUAAGAUUUCCCUUGGAUAAUAAAUUUCACUGUCUUUAUUAGUCUGAAGUGCUCCUAUCUUUGCAUUUGUCUUCCAAUUUGUCUAAUAAUUGUGACCUGUCUAAUAAUUGUGAUAUGUCAGUUCUCUUCCAUUAUGGGCAGAAAACCCUCUCUGAAUUCUUAAGUGUAUACACCAAAAACUAAAAUUAAAUGAAGGGGAU